UUCUGUUAGAAACAGAAAUUUAUGGUCCACAAAUUGCAGUCCUUUUUAAAAGACAGCUAGGUGUCUAUAUCGUAUUUCAGAUUUAAUUGCUGUUCUCUUUGCGUAGUUGGACAUACACAUAAAGGGUUCAAAAUCGUAGAUAGAAGGUAUUGGAAUUUUAUACAAUGUACUGAUAUAAAAACAAAAGAAACGCACGUUUGUUAGCAGUCGAUGUUGUUGCAGAAUAAAAGACCCAGACAUGGAUACUUAGAGAACUUAAUUGAAAUGUGAUCAAGUAGCAGGGCUUUAAUGUGAAAUUCCACACAAUAGAUGCGAAAUAUAUCCCACUUGUCUGAAUUUUGCUGCUGUCAUAGGGGAAAACCAAUCGGGUGACCUGGGUCGGUAGAUGUCCCAGUAAAAAUAAACAGGUGAAAUCGCGAACAUUAUGACUUAUAAUAUACGGUUAUACCUCUUUCUAAGACCCUGUGACUUGAAAUUCGGCAUUCAUGAAAUUAUGACAUUACUUAGCAACCACGUGAUCAGUAAAAAUCGUGUAUUUUCACGUGAAAUUAUUUUUCGGAAUUCCGUACAUCGCCAUAGAGUAGUUGAAAAACAAAAAGGGGUUCCGAAAGUACAAGUUGUUGCUGUGACUGAAUUGAUGAUUGAGAGGGUCGUCUCGACGAAAGAUAUAGAAAUUUGGCCAUAGUUUAGAUUAGGAAUACGUCAAUGUAAUAAUAGUGGACUAAAUGUUUCGUGCAGAAUGGCACUUUUUACCUCACGAAAUUCACCACCAUGCAUAGCUGCGCUACGUAAACAAAGUUGUUGAUGUAGCGUGAUCGUGAUGUCCGAGUGCUGCGAGUUUCAAUACUGUUUAUGUAGUCAUUGAGAGUUUAAACAAAGUUUCUUCUGAGAAGAGGAAUUCGAUGGAUGCAUUCAACGUGGACAACGAAAUCAUAAUUUCGUUUGCAUCAUCCUAAGGACCAGUGCAAGUUGAAAUGGGCUUCCAGCCAACAACUUCAACAGCAAUUUGCCAUGAAAAUCAGCAAGAAAGGUACUUCAUUUACAUUGAUGAUGUCAUAUCCCCUGGACCCACAACUUUACAGGUUACAGAGAAAAUUCAAGAACUUCUGCAAAAUGUGGGACUUGGAUAGAAUCAAUAAUGUAUUUGUGAGCCCAGAGCAAUGGAUAUAUUGUGCAACAUACUAAAGUGUGAAUUUAAUGGAAAACAAGUACAUGUACUCAUGUAUUACAUGUCUUUUAUAAAGACAAUAAUAUUGUAUAAAUAUAGAGGAAGUGUCAUUGUUGAUUAUUCUAAGUUUUUGAUAUAUCAAAAUCAGUAAACAUUUCUAAAUGAAAAUAAAAUACCAAUUUUAUAACUUUAA